rnacentral:ncRNA from 2 species
CCUAGGUGAACCUGCGGAAGGAUCAUUA